AUGCUGAAUGAAUACAUUUUUAUAUAUGUAUUUAUGAAUAUGUGUGCAAUGGCUACUAACAUCUCUUAAUCCCCGCAGCCUUGUUUUCCCCUUGCUUUCGUUUGCUCAAAACUGAUAUAAAAAAACUUGAAGUGUUAAUUAGUAUUCAUUAGCACCUCAUUCCCUCAGCCUCCCUCCUUUUCAAAUAUAGCAACCUAUCUGUCAGGCAGAGGUGUUACAAACUCAUGCUCUGUCUCUGUGUAACUCAUUGAUGAGGUACAAAGUGAAACCUGACAUUGCAGAAAAGAAUAAAUUGCCAGUUGGUCAAUUCAACUUCUGACCAUUUUGGCAUGGGUACCGUUGUGCCUUGCAACGCUGAGGCUUGUGGAAUUUCAUCUCAAUGAAAUUUGCCAUGAAAAAUCACAAUAGAAAUGACAGAAAACAUAGGGGACAAUUAGCAUUGGUGGUUGCCCUAGCGAAAGAUAAAGACACUGCAUGUGUUAUAGAUGGCAGUUUAUUGUUCCCAUUUGUUUAUAAAUAUAGGGGUACCCAAUGUACCCAAGAUGGUUUACAAUUCAAAGGAUCCCAAUUCAGUAAGCAGAGAGUAAAAGAAACCUUAUUUUAUAAGACAGUUGAAGUAGGGCCUGUUUAACCUGAAAUAUCUGAUUUUGCCUGUAGAGGGCUUUGCUUGGGAUUAUGGACCACAAAUGGCAGCCAUUACUCAAGCCUUGGAAGGACACCAUUUGGAUGAACUAACUUGAUGACCAACCUCUGUGAAACUUGGGAAGAGAGAGAGGAAAAAUGACGUCACCAUAAUCUGGGGGUGCCUUUCACACUGCCUGUCGGAGCCGGGAAAAAAAGAACAGGGCAACAAAACAACGGCUGUCUCUGUCUCCUUCGUUAAACACGGCACUAAUUGGA